UGUGUUGAUUUCAUUGUUCUAUUUUUUUUUUUUUUUUGCUUCAUCAGACCAAACUGGUUGACUGAGAAGGCUUUCUAUGUGCUUUUCAAGCUCUUGCAGCCCUGGCCUGAGAUGCUUCCCUAGAACCACAAUAACACGGAGUCUCAGCCAGAUUUGGUCUCAGGAGCUGGAGAAACUACAUGGAGGCCAAAGAAGAAUCAGAAGCUGCCAUUGGAACCAGAAUGAAAACCAGCAGUUAUUCCAACUGCUGCAAACGGGAAGAACAAGGGCACUCUUGUACUGCCAAACAAAUAUUUUAAGGAACUGAACCCAAUGCCUUUCUGUUUGCCACCUGCCUGGUAUGGCUGCAUGGAGAACAAGAGAGACGGUAAGGAAAUCAGCCACUGACCCCACGUCCCUCAUGCCCAUGGAUCACUGCUAAGUGGGCUUCAGACUUUCCCUAUGUAAGUGUUCCCGUUAGCAGCUGCUGCAAGGAGACAGAUCUGGGAACUGAUCAUGUUGCCAUGUGCAAAACACUAAUAAACUCUUAUCCAUAUACA
rnacentral:lncRNA from 1 species